UACGGGAGGCAGCAGUGAGGAAUAUUGGACAAUGGUCGGAAGACUGAUCCAGCCAUGCCGCGUGAAGGCUAAGGUCCUAUGGAUUGUAAACUUCUUUUGUACGAGAGGAAUUAGGCGGACGAGUCCGUCGACGACAGUAUCGUACGAAUAAGCAUCGGCUAACUCCGUGCCAGCAGCCGCGGUAAU
rnacentral:rRNA from 1 species